rnacentral:rRNA from 1 species
AGUGAACGCUGGCGGUAGGCCUAACACAUGCAAGUCGAACGGCAGCACAGUAAGAGCUUGCUCUUACGGGUGGCGAGUGGCGGACGGGUGAGGAAUACAUCGGAAUCUACUUUUUCGUGGGGGAUAACGUAGGGAAACUUACGCUAAUACCGCAUACGACCUACGGGUGAAAGCAGGGGAUCUUCGGACCUUGCGCGAUUGAAUGAGCCGAUGUCGGAUUAGCUAGUUGGCGGGGUAAAGGCCCACCAAGGCGACGAUCCGUAGCUGGUCUGAGAGGAUGAUCAGCCACACUGGAAGUGAAAAACGGUCCAGACCCCUACGGGAGGCAGCAGUGGGGAAUUUUGGAAAAUGGGCGAAAGCCUGAUCCAGCCAUACCGGGUGGGUGAAGAAGGCCUUGGGGUUGAAAAGCCCUUUUGUGGGGAAAAAAAAGCAGCAGGUUAAUCCCCCGCUGUUCGGACGGUACCAAAAAAAUAAGCACCGGCUAACUUCGU